rnacentral:rRNA from 1 species
UACGAACUGUGCGAACGUUAAUCGGAAUUACUGGGCGUAAAGCGUGCGCAGGCGGUUUCUUAAGUCAGAUGUGAAAGCCCCGGGCUUAACCUGGGAACUGCGUUUGAAACUGGGAGACUUGAGUGUGGCAGAGGGGGGUGGAAUUCCACGUGUAGCAGUGAAAUGCGUAGAUAUGUGGAGGAACACCGAUGGCGAAGGCAGCCCCCUGGGUUAACACUGACGCUCAUGCACGAAAGCGUGGGGAGCAAACAGG